rnacentral:rRNA from 1 species
UACGAAGGGGGCUAGCGUUGUUCGGAAUUACUGGGCGUAAAGCGCACGUAGGCGGACUAUUAAGUCAGGGGUGAAAUCCCGGGGCUCAACCCCGGAACUGCCUUUGAUACUGAUAGUCUCGAGUCCGGAAGAGGUGAGUGGAAUUCCGAGUGUAGAGGUGAAAUUCGUAGAUAUUCGGAAGAACACCAGUGGCGAAGGCGGCUCACUGGUCCGGUACUGACGCUGAGGUGCGAAAGCGUGGGGAGCAAACAGG